GUCAAAGCCCAUCAUCAAUCAUAUACCAGAUUGGGUUGAUUCAAGUUCACUUGUGAAUUUUGUAAAAAAAAUUUUCAGUAUUCAUACCUGCUUUGGUCAAAGUCUUUCUAAACUCAGUCUCACAAAUCGCAUAAGAUUUCUCCUUUUCUAUCAAGAAAGAUAGAUUCUAAGUGCAUCCUACUCCUAAUACAAAAUCUGAACCUACUGUAACCAACAUACACAGCAAGGAUCUGAAUAGCUAGGGAUCAAGAAAAUGUACAGUCAAACUCAGUAGCCUUAUUGUGAAUAGUCGAUGAUACUGCAAGUCAAAGGACCACUCAUAUCACUACAGCAUCGAGACAACCAUUGACAAGUGAAUAGACAUCCAAGUGAUUUCUUGUGUGGGUCACUUUCAGUGCAAAUUGUUCUCUAACAACUACCUACACUCUCACUCCAGUAUCUCUACACUAC
rnacentral:lncRNA from 1 species